rnacentral:rRNA from 1 species
UACGUAGGGUGCAAGCGUUGUCCGGAAUUAUUGGGCGUAAAGAGCUCGUAGGCGGUCUGUCGCGUCGGCUGUGAAAACUCGGGGCUCAACCCCGAGCCUGCAGUCGAUACGGGCAGACUAGAGUGCUGUAGGGGAGACUGGAAUUCCUGGUGUAGCGGUGAAAUGCGCAGAUAUCAGGAGGAACACCGGUGGCGAAGGCGGGUCUCUGGGCAGUAACUGAUGCUGAGGAGCGAAAGCGUGGGGAGCGAACAGG